GGUGGCCUAGUGGUUAGAGCGUCUGCCUCAGAUGCAGGGGGGGGGAGUCGUGAGUUCAAGCCCCGCCUGAGUCA